AGAAUCAACGCUGGCGGCGCGCCUAACACAUGCAAGUCGAACGAGAAAGCCGGAGCAAUCUGGUGAGUAAAGUGGCGUACGGGUGAGUAACACGUGGAUCAUCUACCUCUUAGUGUGGAAUAACCCUGGGAAACUAGGGCUAAUACCGCAUAAGUCCGUGAGGAGAAAGCAGCAAUGCGCUGAGAGAGGAGUCCGCGGCCGAUUAGCUAGUUGGCAGGGUAAAAGCCUACCAAGGCAGAGAUCGGUAGCCGGCCUGAGAGGGCACACGGCCACACUGGCACUGAAACACGGGCCAGACUCCUACGGGAGGCAGCAGUGGGGAAUCUUGCACAAUGGGGGAAACCCUGAUGCAGCGACGCCGCGUGAGCGAUGAAGCCCUUCGGGGUGUAAAGCUCUUUCGGCAGGGAAGAUAAUGACGGUACCUGCAGAAGCAGCUGCGGCUAACUACGUGCCAGCAGCCGCGGUAAUACGUAGGCAGCGAGCGUUGUUCGGAGUUACUGGGCGUAAAGGGUGUGUAGGCGGUCGCCUAAGUUUGGUGUGAAAUCUCCCGGCUCAACCGGGAGGGUGCGCCGAAUACUGAGUGACUAGAGUGCGGGAGAGGAAAGUGGAAUUCCUGGUGUAGCGGUGAAAUGCGUAGAUAUCAGGAGGAACACCGGCGGUGUAGACGGCUUUCUGGACCGUAACUGACGCUGAAACACGAAAGCGUGGGUAGCAAACAGGAUUAGAUACCCUGGUAGUCCACGCCCUAAACGAUGCAUAUUUGGUGUGGGUCAUUCAGUUGAUCCGUGCCGGAGCUAACGCGUUAAAUAUGCCGCCUGGGGAGUACAGUCGCAAGGCUGAA
rnacentral:rRNA from 1 species